UGGGGAAUAUUGGACAAUGGGCGAAAGCCUGAUCCAGCCAUGCCGCGUGUGUGAAGAAGGUCUUAUGGUUGUAAAGCACUUUAAGCGAGGAGGAGGGUACUGGUAUUAAUACUACCAGCUACUGGACGUUACUCGCAGAAUAAGCACCGGCUAACUCUGUGCCAGCAGCCGCGGUAAUACAGAGGGUGCGAGCGUUAAUCGGAUUUACUGGGCGUAAAGCGUGCGUAGGCGGCUAAUUGAGUCGGAUGUGAAAUCCCUGAGCUUAACUUAGGAAUUGCAUUCGAUACUGGUCAGCUAGAGUAUGGGAGAGGAUGGUAGAAUUCCAGGUGUAGCGGUGAAAUGCGUAGAGAUCUGGAGGAAUACCGAUGGCGAAGGCAGCCAUCUGGCCUAAUACUGACGCUGAGGUACGAAAGCAUGGGGAGCAAACAGG
rnacentral:rRNA from 1 species